rnacentral:lncRNA from 1 species
UUAUUAUUUAUAAUAGGCAAUAAAGAUAUGCUACUUAAACAGGAUUUAUUUAACAUCUAUAUAACAUUCCAUUAUACUUGUGCUUACUCAACAAAUUGCUUUUCUUUCUAUAGGCAAUCUAGAACAUAUCUACAGAAAAAUAUGUACACAUAACUUCCAUAGUAACGAAAAGCCAAGAAAAACAAACCUAAAUCCAUUAAAAUUGACAUUCGCUCUUAAAGAAUAGCAGGAAGUCUGAAAAUGUGGCAUAUUUAAAAUAGGACUCCAUAAACAGAAAAAAAAAAAAUUAAAAAAAAAAUUAAUUUGUUUCUGUCAUUCUCACCAAGCUAAAUUCAGUAAAAUCUUCCUCUGAAGUGAACUGACCAAUUCUAAGAGUAAUUAGUACUUUGUAGAAAUUAACUGUAAAAAUCCCAUUGUAGUAGAACUAUACACACACAAUUUCAGCUUUUAUUUUUACCUGAAAUGUUAUACCAUUGUCAAACCUGGCUACUUCUCUCAAAACUGCUUUUAAAAACAACAGAAUAUCAAAUGCAUUAUUAGGCUUGUGCAGAUCUCUUUCUUUCUGAGUUAAAACAAUUUGCAUUUAUGUAAACAAAAUUCAGUUCUUAGUAAAAAGAUACUUUUAAAACAAAACUUCAGUUAAAGAGAGAAUGAAUAAAAGAGUCAAUGUCUGGCCAAGGUGGUCUUGCAGUGAGUUAAUGCCAUUGCAGCUGAGUCUUAAUGGGAACAGCCUCCCUCCAGCAAAGCUGGCUGGGGUAAGCAGGGUGCACAUCAACACCCACCUGGGAGUGCCUGUGCAGAGGACCAGGCUGGAGAAUGCCUGUCCCACUACACCACCACCCCAAGGGCAAAAGUGAUGCACACAUCUCUUAAAUACAGGAUAUAAUUUAAAAAAAUUAGACACUUUUUUAUAAGUAGUGAAGCACCAUAACCAAAAUGCACAAAUAGUUUAAGACUCCAGGUCCGUCUGAGGCUGCAAAGAUGAUUAAGGGACUGGAGCAUCUUUCUUAAAGCUCUUAACAGAGUUGGGCCUGUUCAGCCUCCAGAACAGACAGCUGACAGGGGACCUCACCAAUGUCUGUCAGUCUCUGAAGGGAGGGUGUCAUGAGGAUGAAACCAGGCUCUUCUCAGUGGUGCCAAGCAAUAGGACAAGAGGCAAUGAGCAGAAACUGAUGCACAGGAAGUUCCACCUGAACAUGAGGAAGAACUUCUUUGCUGUGUGAGUGACCGUGCACUGGAACACAUUGUCCAGAGAGGUUUUGGAACUUCCCUCACUGUUGGUGAGCAGGGAGGUUGGACCAGAUAACCCACUGUGGUCCUGUGCCUUCCAGCCUUACCAAUUCUGGGAUUCCGUGAUUCUAGGAGAAAAUCAACAAAGAACUGUACAGCACAGAAAUCUCAGGAUUGAAGUUAAAGUAAAAUGUUUUAAAAAUAUAUAGGAAUGUAGAUAAACAUAUUU